AUCGAAAUAGAAGAAGUAUUUUUGGACUUUUACUGAUAUUAAUAGAAAGGUAAGUACUUUUAGGGGUGGUAAUGUGGAUGAAUUAUGUGUCCACGAUCCGUUAAAAAAAAUAGACAAACUCACUAAUCUAACUCUUAAAUAAUCUGUUUAAGAGGACUAAAGUUAAUAUUAUUAUUGGAUGAAUCAUUAUAAAUUAUGUGUAUACUUCUCUCUAUUUUUCAUCGUUUUGAUAUUAUAUUUUUCAAGUUAUAAAUUUUUAAGUACUUUAAUUGAGUUCAUACUCUAGUAAUAUUAUAUUUUAAAGACUUCCUUUUUAGAGUAGUAUUUCCAAGCUAUACCCCUAUAAUUUUUUUAAGAUCUACCCGUUUUCAUACAUUCUAAACAAAAUUGCACAUUUUCCUUAAAUGCAAGUGCCGAC
rnacentral:lncRNA from 1 species